ACUUUGCUGGUGCAGGCGGUAC
rnacentral:misc_RNA from 1 species